GAUGAAGAACGCAGCGAAAUGCGAUAAGUAAUGUGAAUUGCAGAAUUCAGUGAAUCAUCGAAUCUUUGAUCGCACAUUGCGCCCGCCAGUAUUCUGGCGGGCAUGCCUGUUCGAGCGUCAUUACAACCCUCAGGCCCCCGGGCCUGGCGUUGGGGAUCGGCGGAGCCCCCCGUGGGCACACGCCGUCCCCCAAAUACAGUGGCGGUCCCGCCGCAGCUUCCAUCGCGUAGUAGCUAACACCUCGCGACUGGAGAGCGGCGCGGCCACGCCGUAAAACACCCAACUCUUCUGAAGUUGACCUCGAAUCAGGUAGGAAUACCCGCUGAACUUAAGCAUAUCAAUAAGCGGAGGA
rnacentral:misc_RNA from 1 species